rnacentral:rRNA from 1 species
AGGGGGGCUGCUCCUAGUACGAGAGGACCGGAGUGGACGCAUCACUGGUGUUCGGGUUGUCAUGCCAAUGGCACUGCCCGGUAGCUAAAUGCGGAAGAGAUAAGUGCUGAAAGCAUCUAAGCACGAAACUUGCCCCGAGAUGAGUUCUCCCUGACCCUUUAAGGGUCCUGAAGGAACGUUGAAGACGACGACGUUGAUAGGCCGGGUGUGUAAGCGCAGCGAUGCGUUGAGCUAACCGGUACUAAUGAACCGUGAGGCUUAACCUUACAACGCCGAAGCUGUU